rnacentral:lncRNA from 1 species
CCUCCUGGUCUACCCUGUACCUGCAAUCCUGGGGAAAUGGGAGAGGGGUGAGCUACUAGAGCCCAGUGAGCAGAAUAAUAAAAACAUUUAAAUCAUAUGGAUCAUGGAAUGCAUCACAUCACAGCUAAUCACAUCAAGGAUGAAUUUGUCACCAAUAGCCCUCUACAUGGUCCAACUGUGCCAGAACGUAGAAUGGGUCCUGGUCUUUCCCUUACAUAUCAUAACAUAACAGUGUCCAACUGUGCCAGAACGUAGAAUGGGUCCUGGUCUUUCCCUUACAUAGUGCCAGCGAACGUAGAAUGGGUCCCACUGGUCUUACAUUCCAUACCGUACAUAUCACAUCAUCAUAUCAUAGAUCGAGGGCUAUGGAUCAUCCAACAUUCAUCCACAUCAACAUUUAACAUAUGCAAUGCAACAUAUUCGUGAAUUCUAAUGCAAGCAACCUAAUUCAUCACAUGGCAUUCAUGAUGCAUGAAGCAUGC